GAAUAUUGGACAAUGGGGGCAACCCUGAUCCAGCCAUGCCGCGUGUGUGAAGAAGGCCUUCGGGUUGUAAAGCACUUUCAGUGAGGAGGAAGGGGUGUCGGUUAAUACCCGACAUCAUUGACGUUACUCACAGAACAAGCACCGGCUAACUCCGUGCCAGCAGCCGCGGUAAUACGGAGGGUGCAAGCGUUAAUCGGAAUUACUGGGCGUAAAGCGCGCGUAGGCGGCAAGUUAAGUUGGGUGUGAAAGCCCCGGGCUCAACCUGGGAACUGCAUUCAAAACUGGCUAGCUAGAGUACAGCAGAGGAUAGUGGAAUUUCCGGUGUAGCGGUGAAAUGCGUAGAGAUCGGAAGGAACACCAGUGGCGAAGGCGACUGUCUGGGCUGAUACUGACGCUGAGGUGCGAAAGCGUGGGGAGCAAACAGG
rnacentral:rRNA from 1 species